GUUCGCCUACGGGACGCAGCAGUGAGGAAUAUUGGUCAAUGGCCGAGAGGCUGAACCAGCCAAGUCGCGUGAGGGAAGACGGUCCUACGGGUUGUAAACCUCUUUUGUCGGGGAGCAAAGCGAACCACGUGUGGUUCAUUGAGAGUACCCGGAGAAAAAGCAUCGGCUAACUCCGUGCCAGCAGCCGCGGUAAUACGGAGGAUGCGAGCGUUAUCCGGAUUUAUUGGGUUUAAAGGGUGCGCAGGCGGAGGUGAAAGCCAGCGGUCAAAUUGCGGGGCUCAACCACGUACUGCCGUUGAAACUGC
rnacentral:rRNA from 1 species